rnacentral:rRNA from 1 species
UACGAAGGGUGCUAGCGUUGUCCGGAAUUACUGGGCGUAAAGCGUGCGCAGGCGGCUUCUCAAGUCAGGGGUGAAAGCCCAGAGCUCAACUCUGGAAUUGCCUUUGAGACUGAGUGGCUUGAGUACGAGAGAGGUGAGUGGAAUUCCCAGUGUAGAGGUGAAAUUCGUAGAUAUUGGGAAGAACACCGGUGGCGAAGGCGGCUCACUGGCUCGUAACUGACGCUCAUGCACGACAGCGUGGGGAUCAAACAGG